rnacentral:lncRNA from 1 species
CACGUUUUUUCCCCGCCUUUUCCAAGCCACGCCCAACCCCCCGCCCCGCCCCCACUUCACAAAACCCCUCCCACACUUCCAUAUUUGGCGUUUAGGGGGCGGAGACUUCCGGGGAGGGGGCGUGUCCGGCGGCUGCCCCACAAGUGAAGCUCUUGGGGAGGGGGGAGGGGUUUCAAAGUUCCGUUUUCUGCCCCAAAAAUCCCAAUUUUGGGGUCUUUAAAAGUUCCUUUUUCUGCCCCAAAAUGAAACUCGAGGGGGGGGGAAACUCAAAGUUCGUUUUUUUUUGCCCCAAAAAAGUCGAAAUUUUGGGGUUUUAAAGUCGAUUUUUCUGCCCCAUAAGUGAAGUUUGGGGUCUUAAAGUUCCUUUUUCUGCCCCAUAAGUGAAAUUUUGGGGUUUUAAAGUUGCUUUUUCUGCCCCAUAAGUUGAGAUUUGGGGUCUUAAAGUUGAUUUUUCUGCCCCAUAAGUGAAGUUUGGGGUCUUAAAGUUGAUUUUUCUGCCCCACAAGUGAACUUGGGGGUCGCUGGAGUCGGUUUUCUGCCCCACAAGUGGAGUUCGGGGUGUUAGAGUUGAUUUUCUGCCCCACAAGUGAACUUGGGGGUCGCUGGAAUCCGGUUCUGCCCCACAAGUGAAGUUUGGGGUCUUGAAGUUGAUUUUUCUGCCCCACAAGUGAACUUGGGGGUCGCUGGAAUCCGUUUCUGCCCCACAAGUGGAAAUUUGGGGUCUCAGGCUCCGUUUCUGCCCCAUAGAUGGAAUUUUGGGGGGUCCAAGUCCAUUCUCUGCCCCACAAGUGGAACUUGGGGGUCUCCAGGUGCCCCACAAGUGGAACUUGGGGGUCUCGGGCUCCGUCUCUGCCCCACAAGUGAAAUUUUGGGCGUCUCCAAGUCCGUUCUCUGCCCCAC